AUACGGAGGAUGCAAGCGUUAUCCGGAUUUAUUGGGUUUAAAGGGUGCGUAGGCGGGACUGUAAGUCAGGGGUGAAAUACUGCAGCUUAACUGUAGCAUUGCCUUUGAAACUGCCGGUCUUGAGUACAGUUGAGGUAGGCGGAAUGUGGGGUGUAGCGGUGAAAUGCAUAGAUAUACCACAGAACGCCGAUUGCGAAGGCAGCUUACUAAGCUGUUACUGACGCUGAGGCACGAAAGCGUGGGGAUCAAACAGGAUUAGAUACCCUGGUAGUCCACGCUGUAAACGAUGAUUACUGGUUGUUAGCGAUAUAUAGCUAGUGACUGAGCGAAAGCAUUAAGUAAUCCACCUGGGGAGUACGUCGGCAACGAUGACACUCAAAGGAAUUGGCGGGG
rnacentral:rRNA from 1 species